GACGAACGCUGGCGGCGUGCUUAACACAUGCAAGUCGAACGGAAAGGCCCCUUUGGGGGUACUCGACUGGCGAACGGGUGAGUAGCACGUGAGUAACCUUCCCUUGACUUCGGGAUAACUUCAGGAAACUGGGGCUAAUACCGGCUAGGAAUCCUUGCUGAAUGGUGGGGGUUGGAAAGCUUCGGCGGUUUUGGAUGGACUCGCGGCUUAUCAGCUUGUUGGUGGGGUAGUGGCUUACCAAGGCUUUGACGGGUAGCCGGCCUGAGAGGGCGACCGGCCACCUUGGGACUGAGAUACGGCCCAGACUCCUACGGGAGGAAGAAGUGGGGAAUAUUGCACCAUGGGCGGCAGCCUGAUGCAGAAGCGCCGCGUGCGGGAUGACGGCCUUCGGGUUGUAAACCGCUUUCAGCAGGGGCGAAGCUUGUGGUGACGGUACCUGCAGAAGAAGCACCGGCUAACUACGUG
rnacentral:rRNA from 1 species